UGCCUACAACAUAGCGUUAAUGCACCGGAUCCCAUUAGAACUCUGUAGUUAAGUGUGCUCAGGCUAGAAUAGUACUGGGAUGGGUGACCACCUGAGAAUUCCUAUUGUUUUAGAUGC
rnacentral:rRNA from 1 species